UACGAAGGGGGCUAGCGUUGCUCGGAAUUACUGGGCGUAAAGGGCGCGUAGGCGGACAGUUUAGUCAGAGGUGAAAGUCCAGGGCUCAACCCUGGAAUGCCGGUGGAUACUGUCGGGCUCGAAUCCGGAAGAGGUGAGUGGAAUUCCUGGUGUAGCGGUGAAAUGCGCAGAUAUCAGGAGGAACACCAAUGGCGAAGGCAGCUCACUGGGACGGUAUUGACGCUAAGACGCGAAAGCGUGGGGAGCAAACAGG
rnacentral:rRNA from 1 species